AAAGUCUUAUGAUGGGUUGGCGCACAGAAAUAUCAUAUUCCAAUCACGACAUGAGAAAUGGUUGGAUUGCCUGUCCUACUAGGAGAUUCUGGACUGACAUUUUGUCGUGUUAUUGUGUUCCACGCUAUUUAGUUCCUCCUGGAGCCUUCCGAAUUUCACAUGCACUGCUUCAAUCAGCUCCUGCAGAGCGGAUAACUUACCUAGGGACCCAGGCCUUACUGGACAAGCAGCCACUCAUGUACAGGGGCAGACUGGCCUUGUUCUUUUUAAUUUUAAUUUUUUUGCAUUUCAGAGUAUAGAUAUUCAUUUUAGCAAUUUAUUGCAAAGUGAAAGCCAGUGAGUUUCCUGUAGGAUCUUUAUCUAAAAUGGAAGGAUUAUGUAGAAAUGAGCCUACCUGCUGGUUUUUCUUUCUUUUCUCAAUAAUAUUUACAUGUGACAAGUAUUUUCCUAUCUCUAAAAACUGAAUAUGCCUUUGUUUUCUAGUGCGUAUUUCUGCAAUGUAAACCUGCUUGUAUAUAUAUUAAAAGAACCGUUUGAAACCGUUUCUGUGUAUGCACAAAAUAUGCAUUGAUGGUAUUUUGUGUGGGGAUAAGAACCUCAUGUUUACUAAGGAAGUAGAGGAAGGGAAUUUACUUUAGGAGCUUCAAAUUAGUUGCAAAUUAGGAAUUUAUUUUGUAUGUCAUAAAAAUGCAACUCUUUCAUCUAGUUUAAAAGAAAAACGAGAUUUUGGAAGAAUCUUGACUAAAUAACUUUAAAAGUAUUAAAGAAUUUUAAAAGACUGUUAUAAAUCAGACUGCCUUAUAAUAGGAACAGAAAUUUGGGGCUACUUUUUUACAUGUGUACUUACUAAAAUUAUAUGUUAAUACUGGAAGUUAGAUAAUAGAGGAAAAGUACAAUUUUGUAUUAUAAUGUAAUAUCGGCACUAUAUAAAACUGACAGUUAAUUUUAAGUAUUGUUAUUUAGAUCAGUGAGGCAGAAUUUCAAUGUAGAUAUGGAAGAAAAGGCUCCCAUUUUAUAAAUUGCAGAAUAAAUAUAUAUAUUUUGAAUGCUGAA